rnacentral:rRNA from 1 species
UACGUAGGGCGCAAGCGUUGUCCGGAAUUAUUGGGCGUAAAGAGCUCGUAGGCGGUUUGUCGCGUCUGCUGUGAAAACCUAAGGCUCAACCUUGGGCUUGCAGUGGGUACGGGCAGACUAGAGUGCGGUAGGGGUGACUGGAAUUCCUGGUGUAGCGGUGGAAUGCGCAGAUAUCAGGAGGAACACCGAUGGCGAAGGCAGGUCACUGGGCCGGUACUGACGCUGAGGUGCGAAAGCGUGGGGAGCAAACAGG